rnacentral:lncRNA from 1 species
UGCGGUUGUCUCCAAUGUCAGAUGCUCAGUUUUCUCCAUAUGUUGGUGGAAUGGCGUUUUCUCCUUCUUCAUCUCCAGGCUACAGCCCAUCUUCUCCUGGUUACAGUCCUACUUCUCCUGGUUACAGUCCGACUUCACCUGGAUACAGUCCGACUUCUCCUGGCUAUAGUCCCACUUCUCCCACGUACAGUCCUAGUUCUCCUGGCUAUAGCCCAACUAGCCCUGCUUAUUCUCCAACAAGUCCUUCAUAUUCUCCCACCUCCCCUAGCUACAGCCCAACGUCUCCUAGCUAUAGCCCAACGUCUCCAAGCUACAGUCCAACGUCUCCAAGCUACAGCCCAACAUCCCCGAGUUACAGUCCAACUUCACCUGCUUACAGUCCAACUUCUCCUGCAUACAGCCCAACGUCACCUGCAUACAGCCCUACCUCUCCAUCUUACAGUCCAACUUCACCAUCUUACAGUCCGACAUCGCCUUCUUACAGCCCUACUUCACCCUCCUACAGUCCAACAUCUCCUUCUUACAGUCCUACUUCAC